GACGAACGCUGGCGGCGUGCCUAAUACAUGCAAGUUGAGCGCUGAAGGUUGGUACUUGUACCGACUGGAUGAGCAGCGAACGGGUGAGUAACGCGUGGGGAAUCUGCCUUUGAGCGGGGGACAACAUUUGGAAACGAAUGCUAAUACCGCAUAAAAACUUUAAACACAAGUUUUAAGUUUGAAAGAUGCAAUUGCAUCACUCAAAGAUGAUCCCGCGUUGUAUUAGCUAGUUGGUGGGGUAAAGGCUCACCAAGGCGAUGAUACAUAGCCGACCUGAGAGGGUGAUCGGCCACAUUGGGACUGAGACACGGCCCAAACUCCUACGGGAGGCAGCAGUAGGGAAUCUUCGGCAAUGGACGAAAGUCUGACCGAGCAACGCCGCGGGAGUGAAGAAGGGUUUCGGAUCGUAAAACUCUGUUGGUAGAGAAGAACGUUGGUGAGAGUGGAAAGCUCAUCAAGUGACGGUAACUACCCAGAAAGGGACGGCUAACUACGUG
rnacentral:rRNA from 1 species